rnacentral:lncRNA from 1 species
UCCAUCUCCUUCAUCCGCCUUCCUCACAUCCCACUCACGACUGCCUCAACCUCAAUCUCUGUGAGCCUCACCGCCAUAGGAAAAUCCCACAGACUCUCGAAGAGCUCAUGUUUUAUCUGUUAUAGACUUAACAACCACAUCAUUCUCAUAUUUGGAUUGAUUCGAGCGUUAUUGUCUUCUAACCUCAAAGUCCUUGUCCUCAUCACAUGUCCCAAUUUCAUUGGAGACUUUAAUGUUGUCGGCAAUGUUUAGAUGUUGUUUAACGACAUUCAUUACUCGCUAUGCUGUCAACCUUCGAUUAUGUGCUCCGAUUUAAGAAUCAUUGUGGAG